UUUUCGGAGGGUUUGAUCCUGGCUCAGAGCGAACGCUGGCGGCGUGGAUUAGACAUGCAAGUCGAGCGAUCUGUCUUCGGACGGAUAGCGGCGGACGGGUGAGUAACGCGUGGAUUACCUACCUUUAAGACGGGGACAAUUUCGAGAAAUCGGAACUAAUACCCGAUAAUUCUUUUUAAUGCAUAUUGGAAAGACAAAUGGUUCCUCUUUGAGGAUCUGCUUAGAAAUGGAUCCGCGUCCUAUCAGCUUGUUGGUAAGGUAACGGCUUACCAAGGCAAUGACGGGUAGCUGGUCUUAGAGGAUGAUCAGCCACAUGGGGACUGAGACACGGCCCCGACUCCUACGGGAGGCAGCAGUCGAGAAUUUUCCCCAAUGGGCGAAAGCCUGAGGGAGCGACGCCGCGUGGAGGAUGAAGGC
rnacentral:rRNA from 1 species